rnacentral:tRNA from 1 species
GGAGAGAUGGCAGAGCGGCCGAUUGUGCAGCAUUGGAAAUGCUGUGUCCUGGUAACAGGACCGGGGGUUCGAAUCCCCCUCUCUCCGC